rnacentral:rRNA from 1 species
GACGAACGCUGGCGGCGUGCCUAAUACAUGCAAGUUGAGCGCUGAAGGUUGGUACUUGUACCAACUGGAUGAGCAGCGAACGGGUGAGUAACGCGUGGGGAAUCUGCCUUUGAGCGGGGGACAACAUUUGGAAACGAAUGCUAAUACCGCAUAAAAACUUUAAACACAAGUUUUAAGUUUGAAAGAUGCAAUUGCAUCACUCAAAGAUGAUCCCGCGUUGUAUUAGCUAGUUGGUGAGGUAAAGGCUCACCAAGGCGAUGAUACAUAGCCGACCUGAGAGGGUGGUCGGCCACAAUGGGACUGAGACACGGCCCAAACCUCUACGGGGGGCAGCAGUAGGGAAUCUUCGGGAAUGGGGGAAAGUCUGACCGAGCAACGCCGCGGGAGGGAAGAAGGUUUUCGGAUCGUAAAAAUCUGUUGGUAGAGAAGAAAGUUGGUGAGAGUGGAAAGCGCAUCAAGUGACGGUAACUACCCAGAAAGGGACGGCUAACUACGUG